AGUGAACGCUGGCGGUAGGCCUAACACAUGCAAGUCGAACGGCAGCACAGUAAGAGCUUGCUCUUACGGGUGGCGAGUGGCGGACGGGUGAGGAAUACAUCGGAAUCUACUUUUUCGUGGGGGAUAACGUAGGGAAACUUACGCUAAUACCGCAUACGACCUACGGGUGAAAGCAGGGGAUCUUCGGACCUUGCGCGAUUGAAUGAGCCGAUGUCGGAUUAGCUAGUUGGCGGGGUAAAGGCCCACCAAGGCGACGAUCCGUAGCUGGUCUGAGAGGAUGAUCAGCCACACUGGAACUGAGACACGGUCCAGACUCCUACGGGAGGCAGCAGUGGGGAAUAUUGGACAAUGGGCGCAAGCCUGAUCCAGCCAUACCGCGUGGGUGAAGAAGGCCUUCGGGUUGUAAAGCCCUUUUGUUGGGAAGGAAAAGCAGCAGGUUAAUACCCCACUGUUCUGACGGUACCCAAAGAAUAAGCACCGGCUAACUUCGU
rnacentral:rRNA from 1 species